CCCAAAAAAAAAAGAAAAAAGAAAAAAGAAAAAAAAACCACUCCCCUGCCUCAACAGAUCAUUAUCUCCCCCAAACCCCCAAACCCUUCUCAACCCUCAAACCUCACCAUGGCGAACUCUUACCAUGGCAAGCUCUCUCCCGUGAUCUCCCAUGGCGAGCUCUCACUAUGUCCUCUCUGUGGCAUUCUCUCUCAUCUCAGUGUCGAUCUCCUCUCCGCGAAACAUUUUCGCCUAGGUUGAUCUUUGCAGAGAGGAGAAGGUGAACUCCAUUUUGAAAUUGAUCCAAAGCUUGAUUUCCUUUUUCCUGCUAGAUCUCGCCCUACACAUUCGCCUCUAUUGGGAUCGCCAUUUCCAUCUGCGUCUAAGCAAGAAUAAAGGCGAGGCUGUUUCGAAGAAAAGAGGAGUUGUUGCUUCUUCUGUUUCAAGCUAAGCAUUGUUGAUUAGGUUUAAAUCAAACACUGAUUGUUGUUUGUAUGCAAUGAUUCUAUCAAACCCAACUCUAAUCGGGUUUAAAUCAAACUAAAAGCAGAUCCAAAAUUCCUGUGAUGAAAAUAUAUAAAUACGCCAAAGAAGAUGGAAGUCCAUCUCGAAACCCUCGUUCAGCAUUGAGACCACACGCUAUAUAGCCAACUGAAAUGAAUAUUGGCAAUCAAUUAAUUAA